CCUACGGGUGGCAGCAGUGAGGAAUAUUGGUCAAUGGACGAGAGUCUGAACCAGCCAAGUAGCGUGAAUGAUUACUGCCCUAUGGGUUGUAAACUUCUUUUAUAUGGGAAUAAAAUGUUCAACGUGUGGGAUUUUGUAUGUACCAUAUGAAUAAGGAUCGGCUAACUCCGGGCCAGCAGCCGCGGUAAUACGGAGGAUCCGAGCGUUAUCCGGAUUUAUUGGGUGUAAAGGGAGCGUAGGUGGAGUGGUAAGUCAGUUGUGAAAGGUUGCGGCUCAACCGUAAAAUUGCAGAUGAAACUGGCAGUCUUGAGUACAGUAGAGGUAAGCGGAAUUCGUGGUGUAGCAGUGAAAUGCUUAGAUAUCGCGAAGAACUCCGGUUGCGAAGGCAGUUCACUGGACUGCAACUGACACUGAGGCUCGAAGGUGUGGGUAUCAAACGGGAUUAGAUACCCUUGUAGUC
rnacentral:rRNA from 1 species